GUCUCAAAAAAUAAUAAUAACGGAGAGUAUUUAAAAUGACACAGGGCUGGAGCAGUAGGAACCACUGCUGUAAUCCUAGCACCUUGGGAGGCCUAGGAGUUCAAGAUCAGGCUACAAAACAGAUUAGCUAGCUACCACUGAUACUACCUCCUAAACAAGUCCCCAAAAGUUUGCUUCAUUCCAGACUCCCCUGCUAUACCCCUAUUCCAAGCCACCAUUAUUUGUCACUUGGAUUACUGCAGAGACUAAGUGAUCUAGCACUUCCACUCUAUCCACCAUCCUUACACAGAAUAAAAUUAAAACUCCCCAGCCUUACUUACAAAUUUUUACAUAAAGUGACUUUCUGUUCCUUUUACAAGUCAAGAUGAUUCUCCCUUUAGGUGCUUUGUAUUAGAAAUCUCCUCUGCCUAGAAUGUUAUUUCCCCAGAUU
rnacentral:lncRNA from 1 species